GGGACACGUGGUAUCCUGUCUGAAUAUGGGGGGACCAUCCUCCAAGGCUAAAUACUCCUGACUGACCGAUAGUGAACCAGUACCGUGAGGGAAAGGCGAAAAGAACCCCGGCGAGGGGAGUGAAAAAGAACCUGAAACCGUGUACGUACAAGCAGUGGGAGCACGCUUAGGCGUGUGACUGCGUACCUUUUGUAUAAUGGGUCAGCGACUUAUAUUCUGUAGCAAGGUUAACCGAAUAGGGGAGCCGAAGGGAAACCGAGUCUUAACUGGGCGUUAAGUUGCAGGGUAUAGACCCGAAACCCGGUGAUCUAGCCAUGGGCAGGUUGAAGGUUGGGUAACACUAACUGGAGGACCGAACCGACUAAUGUUGAAAAAUUAGCGGAUGACUUGUGGCUGGGGGUGAAAGGCCAAUCAAACCGGGAGAUAGCUGGUUCUCCCCGAAAGCUAUUUAGGUAGCGCCUCGUGAAUUCAUCUCCGGGGGUAGAGCACUGUUUCGGCAAGGGGGUCAUCCCGACUUACCAACCCGAUGCAAACUGCGAAUACCGGAGAAUGUUAUCACGGGAGACACACGGCGGGUGCUAACGUCCGUCGUGAAGAGGGAAACAACCCAGACCGCCAGCUAAGGUCCCAAAGUCAUGGUUAAGUGGGAAACGAUGUGGGAAGGCCCAGACAGCCAGGAUGUUGGCUUAGAAGCAGCCAUCAUUUAAAGAAAGCGUAAUAGCUCACUGGUCGAGUCGGCCUGCGCGGAAGAUGUAACGGGGCUAAACCAUGCACCGAAGCUGCGGCAGCGACGCUUAUGCGUUGUUGGGUAGGGGAGCGUUCUGUAAGCCUGCGAAGGUG
rnacentral:rRNA from 1 species